rnacentral:rRNA from 1 species
UACGGGGGGGGCAAGCGUUGUUCGGAAUUACUGGGCGUAAAGGGCGCGUAGGCGGUUGGAUAAGUCAGCUGUGAAAACCACGGGCUUAACUCGUGGCCUGCAGUUGAGACUGUCUGGCUUGAGUGUGGGAGAGGAGAGUGGAAUUCCUGGUGUAGCGGUGAAAUGCGUAGAUAUCAGGAGGAACACCGGGUGGCGAAGGCGGCUCUCUGGACCACAACUGACGCUGAGGCGCGAAAGCUAGGGGAGCAAACAGG